UAUCUUUGGGGACAGGUGUGAUUCCUGACCGGUGGUAUGCGGUUUAGCCGUAAGCCCACGAGCGAAAGCUGAUUUGGUGAGAUUCCAAAGCCGACGGUAAAGUCCGGAUGAGAAAAGA
rnacentral:ncRNA from 1 species